UACGUAGGGUGCAAGCGUUAAUCGGAAUUACUGGGCUUAAAGCGUGUGUAGGUGGAUGCCUAAGUACCUUGUGAAAUCCCACGGCUCAACCGUGGAACUGCUUGGUAUACUGGUUCUCUUGAGCCACCUAGGGGCAACCGGAACAAACGGUGGAGCGGUGAAAUGCGUAGAUAUCGUUUGGAACGCCAAUGGUGAAAACAGGUUGCUGGGGGUGUGCUGACGCUGAGACACGAAAGCCAGGGGAGCAAACGGG
rnacentral:rRNA from 1 species